GACGGAGGAUGCAAGCGUUAUCCGGAAUGAUUGGGCGUAAAGCGUCCGCAGGUGGCAGUUCAAGUCUGCUGUCAAAGACCGGGGCUUAACUUCGGAAAGGCAGUGGAAACUGAACAGCUAGAGUAUGGUAGGGGCAGAGGGAAUUCCUGGUGUAGCGGUGAAAUGCGUAGAUAUCGCUUGGAACGCCGAAGGUGAAAACAGGCUGCUGGGGUUGCGCCGACGCUGAGACACGAAAGCCAGGGGAGCAAACGGG
rnacentral:rRNA from 1 species